UACAGAGGUCUCAAGCGUUGUUCGGAUUCAUUGGGCGUAAAGGGUGCGUAGGCGGCGCGGUAAGUCGGGUGUGAAAUCUUGGAGCUUAACUCCGAAACUGCAUUCGAUACUGCCGUGCUUGAGGACUGGAGAGGAGACUGGAAUUUACGGUGUAGCGGUGAAAUGCGUAGAUAUCGUAAGGAAGACCAGUGGCGAAGGCGGGUCUCUGGACAGUUCCUGACGCUGAGGCACGAAGGUCAGGAGAGCAAACGGG
rnacentral:rRNA from 1 species